UCAUGGAUGACUAAGAUACAACAACAUAAAAAUAUUAAUUGAUCUCAAACCAACAUUCACACGAAUAUCGUUUGAUUUUCAUGUGAUCAAUUCUUACUUAAAUACGAUCUCACAAUAAACACUUCAUUGCACAAGUCACCACUGCUUCAAAGUAAGUCGAUAUAAGUAGACAGAAUUAUUGCUAAUUUACUUUGUUGCAUUUUUACUUGUUACAAAAAGAAGUACAAGAAAAGCUAUGAAAAGAGCUUACAUACUGUUGUGUUUACUGGUUUUUAUUGAUUUUGUCAAAAUGGAGCGAUACAAGCAAAUGAAGGAAAGACCGACGAAAUCAUUAUUGGAAAAUACGUACAAAGAGAUUUUCAUAUACAACACAAAAAGUAAGACAAUAUACAUCUCGAAAUAUGUUAUUGGUUUUAAGCAAUAUAGUGAGUAAUUAAUAUAGCUCUUUAAA